rnacentral:rRNA from 1 species
GAUGAACGCUGGCGGCGUGCCUAAUACAUGCAAGUCGAGCGAACGGACGAGAAGCUUGCUCCUCUGAUGUUAGCGGCGGACGGGUGAGUAACACGUGGAUAACCUACCUAUAAGACUGGGAUAACUUCGGGAAACCGGAGCUAAUACCGGAUAAUAUUUUGAACCGCAUGGUUCAAUAGUGAAAGACGGUCUUGCUGUCACUUAUAGAUGGAUCCGCGCUGCAUUAGCUAGUUGGUAAGGUAACGGCUUACCAAGGCAACGAUGCAUAGCCGACCUGAGAGGGUGAUCGGCCACACUGGAACUGAGACACGGUCCAGACUCCUACGGGAGGCAGCAGUAGGGAAUCUUCCGCAAUGGGCGAAAGCCUGACGGAGCAACGCCGCGUGAGUGAUGAAGGUCUUCGGAUCGUAAAACUCUGUUAUUAGGGAAGAACAUAUGUGUAAGUAACUGUGCACCUCUUGACGGUACCUAAUCAGAAAGCCACGGCUAACUACGUG